rnacentral:rRNA from 1 species
GACGAACGCUGGCGGCGUGCCUAAUACAUGCAAGUUGAGCGAUGAAGAUUGGUGCUUGCACCAAUUUGAAGAGCAGCGAACGGGUGAGUAACGCGUGGGGAAUCUGCCUUUGAGCGGGGGACAACAUUUGGAAACGAAUGCUAAUACCGCAUAACAACUUUAAACAUAAGUUUUAAGUUUGAAAGAUGCAAUUGCAUCACUCAAAGAUGAUCCCGCGUUGUAUUAGCUAGUUGGUGAGGUAAAGGCUCACCAAGGCGAUGAUACAUAGCCGACCUGAGAGGGUGAUCGGCCACAUUGGGACGGAGACACGGCCCAAACUCCUACGGGAGGCAGCAGUAGGGAAUCUUCGGCAAUGGACGAAAGUCUGACCGAGAAACGCCGCGUGAGGGAAGAAGGUUGUCGGAUCGUAAAACUCUGUUGGUAGAGAAGAACGUUGGUGAGAGUGGAAAGCUCAUCAAGUGACGGUAACUACACAGAAAGGGACGGCUAACUACGUG